GUGCAAAGAAAGUCCUUAGCAACCGUGCUACUUUUCAAGCUAUACCCCGUUAAAGUUGAAUCUUGAGUGUAAAAAAACAAAAAACAACGACAACGUUAUUGACGUCGCCGUAACAGUUACGACGCUUCAUAUAGUCCUAUACUUGUAUGAAAUGUAUACCGUUUUGUUGGAGUUCGUGUUGCUCGGUCUUUAGUUCUUUAUGUUACGUUUUGUGUACUAUUGUAUUGUAUUUGUCUAUUAUAUUCGGGUGCGUGCGGAGAUCUCCAAGCUAGAAAACGGUUGACAUUUUCUUCAUUACGAACUAGAACUAUUUUCGACCUUGGUGCCUUAUUUUUUGUUAAAAUCUAAACACUGCGACGUGUUUUCAAAAUCUUUGUUCCCAUAAAACUUCAUUUCAUCAAGGUCUCUUCUCAAAAUAUCAGCCAUCUGUCUGGCACAGGAUAACAAACCAAUAGUUAAAUAAACUUAAGUUGCUUGGUAAUUCUUAGUACAUUUGGGUAAAUUAAUCUUAUCUUUGUGCCGCAUAAAGCAUCUCUAUAAUUCAACACAUCCCUGAGCCACGACAUUAUAUAUUUUAUACAUUACAUGCGCUUCUUUUUAUCACAAUCCAGACCGGCUAGUAACCGUUGUAUAACUUUACACGUCUGAAGACGAAUAUUUGCGUGAAACAUUUUUGUAUGAUUUUUAUUUCUGGAAAUCAAUCUGAAAUCUACAACAGUACAUUUCCGAAAGUCGGGCUGAACCUUUACUUUUAUGUGCAUUCGGGAUUUACACAAAUUGUAACGCGAAUAAUUCAGCCGUAUUAUUCAGCUGAUGUACGAAUGCUACAUUUCUCAGUCGUGUGGGAGAAAAUCGGACAUGGAAAGGGCUUGAAUUAUUCGAGUCACUCAAAUUGAAACUUGGGAAUAUAUUUCUAGCUGUUCAGAAUUCGCGGAAACAAAUGAUUGUUUUUCGGCAUUACGGUAUUGAAUCAAUAUGAGAGAUAGCAAUUUUUUCUUUUAACAAAUUCGAAUACCAGUCAGUUUAUAGGACUUAAGUUUGAAAUAGGGGCGGCAAUCCAUUCAUUUUAUCCAAUCGAUUGAAAAAGCCUUGAAAUAUUCGAUAAAAAACGUUGAAUGUAAAUUAUAUGAACUCCAAAGUCUCAUAUUAUAAGACUAGUAAAACACAGGCUUCUAAAUUCUUGUAUGAUCAUGAACUAGGUGAAAACCUAGAGCUGACCGAGUGCGAGACCCUCAUGGAUAAUCAUCGAGGUCGUUAAACACCCCUUGCAGUAAACUUUGGUUAAAUUUAAAAAAAGAAUCGAAAUGUAAUAGUCUGAACACAUUUCACCUCUCAUUCCACUAAAUAUUAAAUUGCAGUUACAAGUAUCACAAAACUUUCCUGACCUCUUUUCUUUAACCAUAAUAGAGGGAGGAGGGAAGGAGGGAUCCAGAUCCCGAAAUCCCUGGCUUAAAAACACGAAAUCCGGCGAGGUCCCGAAUUAAAAAAAAAAUCAAAUUCCGACUACCUGAAAUUCGGAAAUAGAAUUCCCGGAUCCCGAAAGGGUCAAUCCCGAAAUCCCGAGCUUAAAAACAUCCGAUCUCGGAGUUCCGAUAAAGGUCCUACACCCCA
rnacentral:lncRNA from 1 species